rnacentral:rRNA from 1 species
GGAAGUGAACCAUCUCAGUACCUCCAGGAAGAGAAAUCAACCGAGAUUCCCCAAGUAGUGGCGAGCGAACGGGGAACAGCCCAAACCUGUCGUACGUGAUAGCCGGUGAGCGUUGUGCGGUGGGGGUUGUAGGAACGCACGUCCUGGGGUCACCGCCCCGGGGUGGAGUUACAAAUCCGCAGCUUAGCCGAACGGUCUGGAAAGGCCGGCGAUACCGGGUGAUAGCCCUGUAGGCGAAAGGUUGGCGGACUCCCAGUGCGUCUCCUGAGUACCACGGGACACGGGAAAUCCUGUGGGAAUCUGCGGGGACCAUCCUGCAAGGCUAAAAACUCACCUGCGACCGAUAGUGAACCAGUACCGUGAGGGAAAGGUGAAAAGAACCCCUGCUAGGGGAGUGAAAUAGUACCUGAAACCGCAUGUCUACAAGCAGUGGAAGAGCGUUUGCCCGCAAGGGUGUUGCUCGACCGCGUGCCUUUUGCAUAAUGAGCCGGCUAGUU